AAGAGAGCAAUUUACAUUUUACUAAGAACGAGUAUUAUUGUAGUGGAUUUGUGACACUCCAGACAAUAUUCUCUCUACAACUCAGUUCGAGAAAGACUUUUAUAGCUUGCUUUUUUCUUUUGAAUAAGAUUCAAGUCGGUUAUGAAAGAGGCCCAUUUUGGCAUGUUUAUUGCAAAUACAACGUUAAAGUUUUUUGAAUGAGUAUUGAUAACAGAUGCGUGUUUAAGUACACGGAUCUGUGGUAAUAUUCGUGCUUCACACGGGCCAUACAAUU
rnacentral:snoRNA from 1 species